ensembl:lncRNA
AUGCUCAAGCAGUUUGUAAGCAGGAAGUUGGGGACACUGUGUGGCUACAGGAUCUGCUUUCUAAAUCCAGUGACAUUCAAGGAGUCUGCGGUUCCCUCAGUGUGCUUUCCACAGGGACACUUCAGUCAUUCCCAUAAGCUCAGAUCCUUCCAAGCAACUCAGAGGAAGCAAAGCUCCCCAGAAGGUCCCUGCUCAUCUCUUCAAGCAGACAUUGCAGAGAGAAAGCAACAGCUCAUCAAGCCAUAAUGUCAAGAAAAGAAAUGAACUAAACUAAUUCUCUUUUCCUCUUGCUAGCCCAGCAUUUAAUUUUUAACUUUUAGAGUCUAAACAUAGCAAUAUAGCACCUAACAGAAGGCUUCCUAAAUCUUAGGGAAUCUCUAUCCUUGUAUUUAAAGCCUAAAGGAUAUGCAAUGCCUAUUCUGACUAUCUUCAAAGUAAAUCAACAACUAAGCACGAUUCCUAUCCCAGUGUUGUUAGAAUGAGAAGCUGGAUUCACAAAAUGUUACGCUAUGGAAAUCUAGAGUAAGAGUGCAUUAAAUCUGAGUCUUGCCCAGUACACCAUCACUUUUCUGUCAGAUUCCCAUCCCAAUCUCUUUUUUACACUGUUUAUUUCAAAUGUAGCUCCCCUACAUCUUUUGGCUGGGAAAUGAAUACAUGCAAGACCCCAGACCUCAUGAUUCCAGCAACAUGAGGGAGCAGACAUUUAAAAACACAUUUAUCAUUUCAAGGAAGCCAUUCCAAGCUGCUUUUUCUGAGAAUGAUUGAAAGCAAUUUAGAAAAUGUGGGACACUAAAAUAAGAGGAAGAUAGAGACACAACUACUCGUAUGCUCCAAAAUUUGUUCAAGGAGAUCAGGAUAAUCAAGUAUAUAAGAGUAAUUUCCACAAACUGUAGACUCAAAUCAAAAUUCUUGGUUUUCCUCAAUUAAUGCAGCAAAAAGUUGUAAAGUGGCAAUUUAAGGGUUAACACAGCUCUGGCUGUUGUUCAUGCCCACUGUUGGAUAUAAGUGAAUACAAAAAUAACUCAUCAAUGGUUUGAAUUGGCAUUGGACUUUUAAAUCUGGUGGUUCUGAUUUUAAUUUAACAUAUCCUGUGGUGCAGUGUGUGAAAUAUGUACUUAACCCAGAUUGUUGUGAGAUGAAAGCACACUCGUGUUUAUUUUACAUUAUUUGCUGUAGUUUGUUGAAAGCCAACAUUCCUGGGCAGUGAAUGCAGCAGGGAUGAAUCAUUUGAACUAGGUGAGGGGUUAGCAGCUGGAAGAAAAUGAAAGUUAAAUAACUACGUUAAAUUUCAGCAAAAUGGGUUAAAAAAUGUAAUGCUAGAGAAACUUGUUAUCUCCAUUCUGAGACAAGGAAUUAUGGUACUUAUUUCAAUGGGUUUUCUACCAGAACUUCUAAUGUCAGCUGUGAUUAGAGGUAAUUAAUAUCACACAUUUCCUACCUUCAAAACUGAGGUGCUGAAGCAAAGUUAAGUACAAAUUGCUACCAAGAGCUGUAGCAAAUGCACUAAAUGACAGUAUAGCAUCAGGGAAUCAAUCCUAAUGAUUCAUAUCACCAUAGGAAUCUUAAUCAAGGAGCAGGACAUAACCAGAUGGAGUAUUGAAUGGUUAAAGAAAAAAGAUGGGCCCUGUGCUGGAGAGCUCAGCACUGAAGCAGAGGCCAAGGGGAAUGACAAAGGAGGCAAAGAGAAGGGGAAGCAGAACAAAAUGAUGGAGCAGCAGCACCAGAAAUGAGCCCAGCACAGGGGCAGUCCACAGUAAAGAUUUUCUGAGAGCUUGUAACAGUGAUUUUGACAGAAGACAAGAGAGUGGGUGUUUGUGCUGGGCCUGUCUCACACCUGAGUGUGGGAGUGAUGGGCAAAGGUGCCUGCCUGAAAAUCCAUCAAGCGGGCAAAUAACGCUUAUAUUAAGGGCUAGAUGAGAGCAGAAAUUUUAUCUGGGUAGUGAAUGAUGCACUUGAGCCUUGAAAGCAGAAGGAAGGGGCUUCUCCUGAGCAAAGCAGGGCAGAGGAAGGGGCCAGAGGCAGCAGCAGCAGCAGAGCAAAAGCCACCCCUGAGGAAAGGAUGCUCACAGCAAUGCUUGAGCUGGGUACAAGUUGGACCAGACAGUGCUUUUCAAGGCCAGAAAGAAAAAGAGGUGGGAGUAGCUGAGAUUCUAAAUGCCAGAAGCCUGCACAGGAAUUUCAGCUGAAAGGAGACGAAAGGCCAAAGAAUAAAGCUCGUAUUGAGGAAAAAAAAAUUAAAAAU